rnacentral:rRNA from 1 species
UACGUAGGCAGCGAGCGUUGUUCGGAGUUACUGGGCGUAAAGAGCGUGUAGGCGGCCUGGUAGGUCAGCUGUGAAAACUCGAGGCUCAACCUCGAGACGCCGGUUGAAACCAUCAGGCUAGAGUCCGGAGGAGGAGAGUGGAAUUCCCGGUGUAGCGGUGAAAUGCGCAGAUAUCGGGAAGAACACCCGUGGCUAAGGCGGCUCUCUAGUACGGUACUGACGCUGAGACGCGAAAGCGUGGGGAGCGAACAGG